UAGGGAAUCUUCGGCAAUGGACGAAAGUCUGACCGAGCAACGCCGCGUGAGUGAAGAAGGUUUUCGGAUCGUAAAGCUCUGUUGUUAGAGAAGAAUGAUGGUGGGAGUGGAAAAUCCACCAUGUGACGGUAACUAACCAGAAAGGGACGGCUAACUACGUGCCAGCAGCCGCGGUAAUACGUAGGUCUCGAGCGUUGUCCGGAUUUAUUGGGCGUAAAGCGAGCGCAGGCGGUUUGAUAAGUCUGAAGUUAAAGGCCGUGGCUCAACCAUGGUUCGCUUUGGAAACUGUCAAACUUGAGUGCAGAAGGGGAGAGUGGAAUUCCAUGUGUAGCGGUGAAAUGCGUAGAUAUAUGGAGGAACACCGGUGGCGAAAGCGGCUCUCUGGUCUGUAACUGACGCUGAGGCUCGAAAGCGUGGGGAGCAAACA
rnacentral:rRNA from 1 species